UACAGAGGUCUCAAGCGUUGUUCGGAUUCAUUGGGCGUAAAGGGUGCGUAGGUGGCGCGCUAAGUCAGGUGUGAAAUUUCGGAGCUUAACUCCGAAACUGCAUUUGAUACUGGCGUGCUUGAGGACUGGAGAGGAGACUGGAAUUCACGGUGUAGCAGUGAAAUGCGUAGAUAUCGUGAGGAAGACCAGUGGCGAAGGCGGGUCUCUGGACAGUUCCUGACACUGAGACACGAAGGCCAGGGGGAGCAAAACGGG
rnacentral:rRNA from 1 species